GAGAGGAGCCCCAGCCCUGCAUUACCAGGUGUCCCCAUUCGGUGACCAGGACUGAACACACAGACUCACCAUGGAGUCUGGGCUGACCUGGGUUUUCCUUGUUGCUCUGUUACAAGGUGUCCAGUGUGAGGUGCAGCUGGUGGAGUCCGGAGGAGGCUUGGUCCAGCCUGGGGGGUCCCUGAGACUCUCCUGUGCAGCCUCCGGAUUUACCUUCAGCAACUACUGGAUGAGCUGGGUCCGCCAGGCUCCAGGGAAGGGGCUGGAGUGGGUCUCAAGCAUUUAUAGUAGUAGUAGUACAUACUACGCGGAUGCCGUGAAGGGCCGGUUCACCACCUCCAGAGACAACGGCAAGAACUCGCUGUAUCUGCAAAUGAACAGUCUGAGAGCCGAGGACACAGCCGUGUACUACUGUGCAAGAGGCACAGUGAGGGGACAUCAGUGUGAGCCCAGACACAAACCUCCUGAGGGGCCUGCGGGGGCCGCCAGGGGGCGCAUGAGACACAAAGAGCAGUUUCAGCCCAGGGCAGGUGCAGGUGGAGGGUGA